ensembl:lncRNA
CUCAGGCAUUUCUUUCCCGGUGGUGCUCGGACAGGGAAGGUAUCACCCCCUCCAGUCACACUGGCUUAUCAGCCCGAGGAGAUGGAAAGGGAGCAGCCUGUGGAAUGUCAGGCCCUGCUGGCUGCACGCCCAUAUACAGUUCAGCAACCUCGGCGAGAACAACCCCGGCUGCUGCUGCGGCUGCCACUCGGGUUAUUUCCUCUGGGCUCAGCUGCAGCCUGCAGAGCUCUGCAAAGGGGAGGGGUUUCUUCGCUCCCUCCCUCCCGAGGGGGGUCCUGCCCCAGCCCCAGCCCCAGCGAUGGGACAGGAGUCAGGACCAGCCCCGGGCCGGUUGAAUUGAAAGCAAACCGUGGCAGCUCCACGCAAGGCGAGAGCGCUGGCAGGAUGCCCCGGGCUGGCGCCCCCGCUCCCAGCUGUCAGUGAAGGAGCGAAGCUUUGCGGCCGGGAUGUUCAGCUGGCACAAGAGCUUCACCCUGGGAGCGCCCUGGAGACAAGCAGGCAAGAAGAACUCACCAUCCAAGGGCAAGGUAGUGCUGACCAACAUGAAGAUACUGAGCAACGAAGAGAGUCAAACCCAAGGGUUGACAGGAGAGCCACCUGCAGCCAUGGACUUUCCAGAGGAAUCCAGGCUUCCCAAAGUCGACAUCCCAUUAGAAUGCCAGGGAAAUCUGGGCACAAGAGACACUUCUUCAAAACCAGACUAUGUGGCCACCCUGUCUGACCUCAGCACCUUAGAAUCCAAGUGCCAGCUUCACAGAUUCUCCAAAUUUGAAUCAGAGGAUUCUGGGGUUGAAUUGCCAAGUGGAGCCAAUUCUCCAUCUACACCAACGGGCUCAGAGAAGAGCUUUGUGCUUCACACCAGAGACUCGUCUUGUGACUCUGGAGUGCUCAGCACCUCUUCUUCUCCAGGAAUUGACCAUAUCAUAAUGAGAAAGUGUAAAGACAUCAGAGAAACCAGCCAGUGUGCUUCAGAUAGUGAAAAGCAAGUUGAAUAUUACAGCCAGGCAGCAGACAUGGUGCAGAUCCCUACAGCUUCCCUGGAAGAUUUCAGUGACCGUCAGAAGGGAGAAAGUCCUAAUAAACUUUUUGGCCAAAGUGAAGGACAAUAUUUUGAAGAGAAACCCAGGAAAGAGAUAGACCUUUCCAUUAAAGAAACUGCUCCAGCUGCUGCCCACAUUGAAGAGCAAAGGCCAAUCACCAACCGUUACAAAGAGACCUUUGGGAGGAUGCAAGAACUUCAGCUCCAUGGACAUCAGCUCAAAAAGUAUCCCACGAGCGACAGCCUGGAUGAGUACAUGGAUGAAUGCUGUCGAUUAAGUGAGGUGAACCAAGGGAACACCAAGGCUCUCGGCUCAGGUUUGGGGUAUCUGGAACACAUCUGCCAGCUGAUAGAGAAAAUUGGGCAGCUACAGGAGCACAAUCUGCGACUCCAAAAGCAAGUGUGCGGUUUGCAGAAGGAGCAGAAGAUGAACCAGAUAAAGGAGGAGUAUUUUCUGCAGCACUGUUCCUGUGGAGCUGCCAGCAUCUUGCUCAACUCAUACCAGGAGGUGAAGAAAUUUUUUAUUGGGAGGAGCAGACCGCACAGUCUCUUGGUUCAGAGUGGAAACCAGUCCGACCUUUCGAUCAUCCCAGAAAGAGGAAGUGACACACACCUGGAAUCAGGAGAUAGACAGCUGGUGCUGGGGCUCAGGAAGACCUGGAGUAAAAGGAGCAAUGAGGAGAAUGAACUCAGAGAUGCCUAUAAUCUGACUGAUGGCCGAGCUUUCCUGCUAAAGGACCCAAUUACGAAAAAGAGGGCUGACCUCGGCAAGAGUAUCCCAGGUGAAAGCCACGCUUGGGGCAGAAUGAGGGAUCUCAUGAAGAAGACCAGGCUGAGGAACCAGACCAAGUUGGGGCUGUCAUCGGCAGCUCUGAAGAGGUCCUGCCCACAGCUCUACAGGCCAGAUGUUAAGACUUCGGAUCGGAGGAAGAUGGAGAGGAACUCCAUGAUUGUUCUGGGACAAAGCACAAAAAAUGAAAACAUCUGGCCUUUCUGAGCAUCUGAAUCCAAUGGACCAAGAGGUAAAUGAGCUGGGAAGCUGUUGGACAUGAAAUUGAAAACCACGAGGCUACAUUGUGCAGACUAUGCUCUACAGCAGGAUCAGCAUCAAGGUGCCAGGGAGGGAGGAGAGGUAAAAGAAAGAUUUGCUGAAGGGCGGGGUGCUCAGCUAUAGUAGAGUUUACUCUUGACAUGAAUGUAAAAGUGAACUUAAAACAAUGCUAUAUACCAGGAAUAUAGUUACCAUCUCAGCAAUAAUAAUCAAGCAGGUUUGAUACAAUUUCAUAAACAAGCUACCUUAAGUCCUCCUGCUUGUGAAGUAUUAUUGAUUUCCUGAGCUUUAUUCAGCAGAAAUAGGCUAGACCCUCAUAGAAUACCAGUGCUUUAAGGAAAAACAAAGAUUGGGAGACUACAUAUAGUAGAC